CGGAGGGUGCAAGCGUUAUCCGGAUUCACUGGGUUUAAAGGGUGCGUAGGCGGGUUGGUAAGUCCGUGGUGAAAUCCCCAAGCUUAACUUGGGAACUGCCGUGGAUACUACCAAUCUUGAAUAUCGUGGAGGUAAGCGGAAUAUGUCAUGUAGCGGUGAAAUGCUUAGAUAUGACAUAGAACACCAAUUGCGUAGGCAGCUUACUACACGAUCAUUGACGCUGAGGCACGAAAGCGUGGGGAGCAAACAGGAUUAGAUACCCUGGUAGUCCACGCCCUAAACGAUGGAUACUCGACAUCAGCGAUACACUGUUGGUGUCUGAGCGAAAGCAUUAAGUAUCCCACCUGGGAAGUACGAUCGCAAGAUUG
rnacentral:rRNA from 1 species